rnacentral:rRNA from 1 species
UAGUUCGUGGAGUGAUCUGUCUGCUUAAUUGCGUUUCACUAAGGGCUCAUAAUUAAUUGUAUGUUUCGUUUGCACUCUUUGACCCCUCUUCACGGAGCGUGUGUCUUAGAAAUUGCAGCGUGCGUACUUUUGGGUCCUGAAAGCAACGAACGUGACCGCAACCUCUUGUUGCCUUUAUUACCAAACGCAAUCUUUUAGACUUCGGUCUAAUUGUUGCAAAAAAAGGCUUUCUAAACUAGAGGGACCGCUGUUACUUUCUUAAACCAGAGGAAGGUUGCGGCAAUAACAGGUCUGUGAUGCCCUUAGAUGUUCCGGGCUGCACACGUGCUACAAUGAUCAGUACAGUGAGCAUCUCAUUUUUUAUACACCGCAUGCGCGAGUCCAUUUAUUCACCUUCUGGGUGCUUUAAAUGUGUAUCUCUGCGCGCGGUAAAGCCUGCUUCGAAAGUAAGUGGGUAAUCAAUUAGAAGUAAUGAUUUCCUUUUUAGCACACAUAUAUACGGCAUUUAUGCCCGGGCUGCCUUGUUGUAGCUUUUGUGCGCAUAAGUGUUUUUUCCGUAUGUGCGAUUGUCAAUUCA